GCUUCGUUUUGGUUAUCUCAGCUGUAAUAAGUAGCCUUGGGACCCCCGAAGGCACACCCCACACACUUAUGCUGCGUGACCUAAGGUCACAAGUAAUGGCCGCAAGCUAAUUGAUUGAGAAAGGCUUGUCUGGCGGGGCCUCUUUGCGUCCUCUCUUUACAUUCCUUAGUCCUGUGAAAGAGGCACUGGCCGCUCAGCUAGCAAGGAAGGAAAAAAGAGAGGAAGUUUCUCCGCGUUCUGAUUACUCUCUGAAUUCCCUUGUAGCGAGCUUACUUCUCUCCACCCACUUCUUACCGAGAACUUAAUUUGAAGGUGAACAACUUAAAGCCUGUUCCCAGAGAGGUCCCCGAAAGGUGAUUUGAGUGUUUACCGAACUGAAGGAACAAAUUACCUACUUGAGGCGGUGGGCAGCGUAUGGAAACGCUAUUAGAACUUCAGCAAAGUGCACAGCUGCCUAAUACCGAAGCCGGGACUCAGAUUGAUAGGCAAAUCAGCCAGCUCGUGGAAGGGCCCUCUGGGUGGCGGCUCCGGGCUGGGCUAGUGGGUGCUGGACAACUGUAGGCAAAACAGAAAUGGAGCAGGGGCAGCAGAUAGCACACUUUUACGCCACGCAACUGUUGCUUUCGCAUGUCUACAGAUGCGCGGCUGGUGGUGUGGCUCCGACAGAGCAAGGGUUACAUCAAGGCUGUUCUCUGGACCGUGCAAACAGUCUAGACCAAUGACCUGCAGCAUCAUGCCCUUUGAAGAAGAGGCAAGUUCGGUCAUGAUGAAGAAAAAUCAAGGCGUACCCCUUUUAACAAUAGGGAGCAGCUCGAGGCUGCAAAGAGGUUAUUGAUCAUUAAAAUGGCAUUGUAAAGGGAUGACUCAGAAAUAACAGAGCUUGUUGCUACUUCUGAGAUAAAGAAAAUUCUCGAUGUCAAGAUUUAAAUAGAGAAGAGAAUGAGAUAUACAAAAUGGGUAUUCUUGAAGUUAAUCAGAGAAAUAUUCAUGCACCUGUAAAGGGAAAAACUUAAAAUGGAUAUGAGAAGUGAAGAAAGUGAUCAUAGGAGAAAAUCAUCUCAGGUAAAAACAAAAAGCAAAAGAGCAAUUAAUAUUUAAUAUUUUUAAAGAAAAAAAUAAAACAAUUUUGACUGUGUUUAGUGAUAAGAAUUCGUUUCAUAUUCUCUAUGGCUCUAGCUGUUGGAAUUUUCAUUGAUGGCUUGAGAAUUUAUACUGUUACCUACCUUUGUGAAAAAUUUUUGUCUGAGUUUGUGAUCAGUGUGCAGUUUGAGUCCCUUUGAAUUCUGUAUCUAUAUACCCAUUCAUGUAGCUAUACAUCCAUUCAUAGAACGGUUGAAUAGAAAGUAAUUUAGAAAAAGAAAAUAUAUAUUUUUUUCAUUUGUCAUACCAUAUAAAAGGAAGUGAAAUCUGGGGGGAGGGAAUAAAGUUGUGCUGUUUUCAAAAAAUGAUCUACUAAGAUAAUGAAACCAAAAUAUACAUUCUUAUAGUUAUGAUAAAACCCAAAACAAAUGUUGCUUUUUAUUUCACAUCUAAAUUUAUUAAUAUAUGUUGAGACAUUUUUACUAUAAUUAAAUGCAUGAUUGUUGAUUUUUUACUGUGGUUUUUAAUAAAGUAUGGCAAUAAUUAGAAAACAAAUAAUGGCAAAAAUUAUGUAGACCAAAUCAUCUAUUUAAAGUUUAAAAAACACAUUUCAUUUAUUUCAAAACAUGCAAAAACACUAAGUAAUUUUUAUGUAGUGUUACUAUUUUUCACAAUGAAGAUAUAAUUUAGAAAUGCUAACUAUUGUGGAUAUGAGUGAUACGAUUAAUGAUUGUACAACUUACAAUUUUGUUGCUGUUGAGCUUAAAAUCUUUAAAAAAACGUGAGUGUGGCUGGCUUUAGGUUUAUUCUUUGUGUCUUUGCUUAUUGUCUGGUGGUUUAAAAUUUUUUUAGUGACGAUUUAUUUUUUCCCAACCUGUUGACCAGGUAAGAGUUGUAUGUAGCUAUAUAGUAUGUUUAAGAAUAUCUUUUUUUGAAAAAUAAAUUUAAGUAUAUUGUGUUGAAGAGGCAAGAUAUAUUCUCUUUUAUGCAAUAGAUCUGGAGUAUAAAUUUUAGUAGUAGUAACAUUGCUAGUAGUAAUAAUGCUUGUUAGUAUGCCAUUAAUUUUGGUUUUCUGAUAAUAG